CUUUAACCCACUGAGCCACCCAGGCACCCCUGGAAAGCCACCCAGGCACCCAUGAAAUUAUAUACUAGGGAUUUCUAAAAAUUAUGCUCUUAGUAUAGCGAUU